rnacentral:rRNA from 1 species
UGGGGAAUUUUGCACAAUGGGCGAAAGCCUGAUGCAGCAACGCCGCGUGAGCGAUGAAGGCCUUUGGGUCGUAAAGCUCUGUCCUAGGGGAAGAAUAAAUGACGGUACCCUUGGAGGAAGCCCCGGCUAACUACGUGCCAGCAGCCGCGGUAAUACGUAGGGGGCAAGCGUUAUCCGGAAUUAUUGGGCGUAAAGAGUGCGUAGGUGGUUUUGUAAGCGCGGGGUGAAAGGCAAUAGCUCAACUAUUGUAAGCCCUGCGAACUGUGAGACUUGAGUGCAGGAGAGGAGAGCGGAAUUCCCAGUGUAGCGGUGAAAUGCGUAGAUAUUACUUAGAACACCAAUUGCGAAGGCAGGUUACCAAGAUAUAACUGACGCUGAGGGACGAAAGCGUGGGGAGCGAACA